rnacentral:rRNA from 1 species
GCAGCAGCCGCGGUAAUACGUAGGGGGCGAGCGUUGUCCGAAGUUACUGGGCGUAAAGCGCGCGUAGGCGGCUUGUUAAGUGACUGGUGAAAUCCCCGGGCUCAACCCGGGAGUGUCUGGUCAUACUGGCAAGCUAGAGUACGGGAGAGGAGAGUGGAACUCCAGGUGUAGCGGUGAUAUGCGUAGAGAUCUGGAAGAACACCCGUGGCGAAGGCGGCUCUCUGGACCGUAACUGACGCUGAGGCGCGAAAGCCAGGGGAGCGAACGGGAUUAGAUACCCCGGUAGUCCUGGCCCUAAACGAUGGAUACUAGGUGUGGGGGGUAUCGACCCCUCCCGCGCCGCAGCUAACGCAAUAAGUAUCCCGCCUGGGGAGUACGGCCGCAAGGUUGAAACUCAAAGGAAUUGACGGGGGCCCGCACA